rnacentral:lncRNA from 1 species
ACUGAAUGUGUGAGUGAUCAUUAUUAUGUUGGAUUGGUAGAUGUUGUUUGAUGCCAUAAAAAGGCUCUGUACCUGAAUCAACUAUAGAGUGCCCAAAGAAAGAAGAAAUAAACACUUUUGAUAAUUUAGCACCAUUAAAAAAUCGAUGAACUAACCUUUUUUUAAAGACUCUUCUGGGAUAUGUAGGUCGGCGAUUCUACUGAGUUGGGGGUUCUCAAACAGUUUGACAUUUGGGUGAGUGUCAUUUGUCUUGAAAUUCGUUGCAUCUGGUACACAUCAUUUCUGUGCAACCAAUUGGACUCAUCAUCUUCAUAAAUAUUCUCUUUUUCGUCGAGGAUGUCUCUGUUGAAAUGCAUGAAAUUUGGUACUGCACCACCUGCACAUGUUAUGUUCUGCAGUUGUGUGACUGCCAAUUGUCCGGUAGCUGGCAUGAGUGACACAAUGUUACUGCCAUUGAGGACGGCAACAAUAUGCUUAUUUUGCUUGCGGGUUUGACGUUGUCGCUUUAAUAUUUCCUCUCUAUUUUGUGCAUACCACUCCAUUUCCAUCUGAUUCUUAAUCUCAUUACGGUCUGAAUAUAUGAAGAAUAGAUCAUUCUAUAAUAAUACAACUGGGCCGUAUAUCAUGAAGUUGAUCAUCAUUACCUUGUGAUACACCCAAUUGUGUGUGUACUCUGUUAUUUAGGCCAUUGAUCUUGGCAGUGGCAAUUUUUUUCCUGUUUGUAGGCCUAACGCCAUCUCUUAUUAAUCUCAUCCCUAUUUUGUGCAUAUUGCUCUCUAUCCAUCUGCCUUUUUAUUUCUUUAGGGUCUGCAAAUCAUGACACAAUUCAGCAGUUGAGCAACAAUCGAGUGAUUGGGUUAUGAUCAUUACCUGUUGGGAGUGGUAGGGGCCAUACAAAGUCCUUCAACCCUGUGAAUGUCAAGAGUGUUAUCAUACAACUAUCUUUGAAGGAAUAGUAUUACCGGAAUAC